rnacentral:rRNA from 1 species
UAGCAUGGAAUAAUAGAAUAGGACGUGUGGUUCUAUUUUGUUGGUUCUAGGACCGCCGUAAUGAUUAAUAGGGACAGUCGGGGGCAUCAGUAUUCAAUUGUCAGAGGUGAAAUUCUUGGAUUUAUGAAAGACUAGCUUCUGCGAAAGCAUUCGUCAAGGAUGUUUUCAUUGAUCAAGGACGAAAGUUAGGGGAUCGAAGACGAUUAGAUACCGUCGUAGUCUUAACCAUAAACUAUGCCGACUAGGGAUCGGUCGAUGUUAUUUUAAUGACUCGAUCGGCACCUUCCGAGAAAUCAAAGUUUUUGGGUUCUGGGGGGAGUAUGAUCGCAAGGUUGAAACUUAAAGGAAUUGACGGAAGGGCACCACCAGGAGUGGAGCCUGCGGCUUAAUUUGACUCAACACGGGGAAACUCACCAGGUCCAGACACAAUGAGGAUUGACAGAUUGAGAGCUCUUUCUUGAUUUUGUGGGUGGUGGUGCAUGGCCGUUCUUAGUUGGUGGAGUGAUUUGUCUGCUUAAUUGCGAUAACGAACGAGACCUUAACCUGCUAAAUAGCCCGUAUUGCUUUGGCAGUACGCUGGCUUCUUAGAGGGACUAUCCGUUUAAACGGAUGGAAGUUCGCGGCAAUAACAGGUCUGUGAUGCCCUUAGAUGUUCUGGGCCGCACGCGCGUUACACUGACGGAGCCAGCGAGUCCUCCUUGGUAGAGUUACAUGGGUAAUCUUGUUAAACUCCGUCGUGCUGGGGAUAGAGCAUUGCAAU